rnacentral:rRNA from 1 species
UACCUGGUUGAUCCUGCCAGUAGUCAUAUGCUUGUCUCAAAGACUAAGCCAUGCAUGUCUAAGUAUAAGUGUUAUACAGCGAAACUGCGAAUGGCUCAUUAAAACAGUUAUAGUUUAUUUGAUAAUCGAAUCUACAUGGAUAACCGUGGUAAUUCUAGAGCUAAUACAUGCUGGCGUGCCCGACUUUGUGGAAGGGCGGUAUUUAUUAGAUAACAAGCCAAUAUUCCUUGUGUCUAUUGUGGUGACUCAUAAUAACUGAUCGAAUCGCACGGCCUACGGCCGCGAUAAGUCAUUCAAGUUUCUGCCCCAUCAGCUUUCGAUGGUAGUGUAUUGGACUACCAUGGCGUUUACGGGUAACGGAGGAUUAGGGUUCGAUUCCGGAGAGGGAGCCUGAGAAACGGCUACCACAUCUAAGGAAGGCAGCAGGCGCGUAAAUUACCCAAUCCUGACUCAGGGAGGUAGUGACAAGAAAUAACGGACCGCGCCUUCGGGCGUCGGGACUGCAAUGAGCCGAAUUUACACCCCUUAGCGAGGACCAAUUGGAGGGCAAGUCUGGUGCCAGCAGCCGCGGUAAUUCCAGCUCCAAUAGC